UACGUAGGGGGCAAGCGUUGUCCGGAUUUAUUGGGCGUAAAGAGCGUGUAGGCGGUUUGGUAGGUCCGUUGUGAAAACUCGAGGCUCAACCUCGAGACGCCGAUGGAAACCAUCAGACUAGAGUCCGGAAGAGGCGAGUGGAAUUCCCGGUGUAGCGGUGAAAUGCGCAGAUAUCGGGAGGAACACCAAUUGCGAAGGCAGCUCGCUGGGACGUCACUGACGCUGAGACGCGAAAGCGUGGGGAGCAAACAGG
rnacentral:rRNA from 1 species